rnacentral:rRNA from 1 species
GAUGAACGCUGGCGGCGUGCCUAAUACAUGCAAGUCGAGCGAACGGACGAGAAGCUUGCUUCUCUGAUGUUAGCGGCGGACGGGUGAGUAACACGUGGAUAACCUACCUAUAAGACGGGUAUAACUUCGGGAAACCGGAUCUAAUACCGGAGAAUAUUUUGAACCGCAGGGUUCAAAAGUGAAAGACGGUCUUGCUGUCACUUAUAGAUGGAUCCGCGCUGCAUUAGCUAGUUGGUAAGGUAACGGCUUACCAAGGCAACGAUGCAUAGCCGACCUGAGAGGGUGAUCGGCCACCCUGGAACUGAGCCACGGUCCAGACUCCUACGGGAGGCCGCAGUAGGGAAUCUUCCGCAAUGGGCGAAAGCCUGACGGAGUAACGCCGCGUGAGUGAUGAAGGUCUUCGGAUCGUAAAACUCUGUUAUUAGGGAAGAACAUAUGUGUAAGUAACUGUGCACAUCUUGACGGUACCUAAUCAGAAAGCCACGGCUAACUACGUG